UACGAAGGGGGCUAGCGUUGCUCGGAAUGACUGGGCGUAAAGGGCGCGUAGGCGGCUUGCACAGUCAGGCGUGAAAUUCCUGGGCUCAACCUGGGGACUGCGCUUGAGACGUGUGGGCUUGAGUGGGGAAGAGGGUCGUGGAAUUCCCCAGUGUAGAGGUGAAAUUCGUAGAUAUUGGGAAGAACACCGGUGGCGAAGGCGGCGACCUGGUCCUUGACUGACGCUGAGGCGCGAAAGCGUGGGAGCAAACAGG
rnacentral:rRNA from 1 species